UACGUAAGGGGCGAGCGUUGUUCGGAUUUACUGGGCGUAAAGGGUGUCUAGGCGGCAUGUCAAGUCGGAAGUGAAAUCCCUCGGCUUACCCGAGGAACUGCUUUCGAAACUGGCAAGCUUGAGUACGGGAGAGGAGAGCGGAAUUCUCGGUGUAGCGGUGGAAUGCGUAGAUAUCGAGAAGAACACUCGUGGCGAAGGCGGCUCUCUGGACCGAUACUGACGCUGAAGCACGAAAGCCAGGGGAGCGAACGGGAUUAGAUACCCCAGUA
rnacentral:rRNA from 1 species